CCGCCGGUCAUGGCUGAAGAAUGAGUUAUUUACGGCAGUUCCUGCCGUGGCUGUUUCAGUGGUGCCUUAGCAUUGGCUACGACGUUCUUGUCCGUUCAUCAGUCGCAUUAAUCCUGUUAUUCCACGUUACGUAACUUAUGUUUUUGUUUAGGCGUCUUGAUUUCAGCCAAGAAUGUGUCAGUCAGAAUGCAUGCCGUGGAUCCUAGUACGUUUCAACAACAAAGACGUCGUAACCUUCGCAACGUAACACGAUUUGUUGGGUGAAUCAGACCAACUGUACCUUUGUCAUUAAUGGUACAACAAUGACAACCAUGAAUCGGGUAGUGGGAGAAACAGAUUGGCCAAUUGUGGCGACACGGUACAGAGGCCGCUGCUGCAGUGCUGGUAGUGGUACUAGAGGGGAAGGCAAGUCAGCCUUCCCAAGGCAAGGCAGCACAAGGCAGACCAGGUAUUAAGAACGGCUGGCUCCCUACUACCUGCUAGCCGGACAGGAAAAUGUAGGUCUUUGGGUCUUGAUUGGGUGGUGAUGGUGGGUGGGUCAGCUGUUUCAAGAUGAUGGAGAAGGGGGAGGAAAAGAGAUGAGAAGGGGUUAUAGAGAAAAGACAAGAAAUAUAGUGCCUUGGGAGGAUUGACUCUGUGAGUGGAACUGUUGUUGUGGAAUAUAGUUUUAGUAGUGCACUAGUACCUGUGUCGUAAGGGUUAUUGGCAUAGUCUACUGAACCAGUGUUUGUGGCGGUAGCAGCUGGCCUUCCUUGUUGCUUGCGCGGGUACUUCCAGGUGGUGGUGGCUCACUUUAGUCAAAUUGUGUCUAUAGGCGGAUGGGCACGAGGUUCAGUUUUCAAAAUGAAAAUAUUUAAGCUUUAAAAUAUCAACACAUUUGAGUACUGAAUUUGUGGGACCGUGAAAUAAGUUUUUGUGUUUUUGAGAAGUGCUGUUUUCUUAAACUGUGGAUGGAAGUGAUUGAAUGAAAAUUUUCUUUAAUCCAGUAAGACAUGAGUGUAAACAAUUUAUUAGUGAAAUAGAACCAGAUAAACUGCAACAUUUGUUGUGAAAUAUUAUAAUACCUUCACAACAGUUCAAAUAAAUCCAAAGACUAAUAAAUGCUGGCUAUUUAUUUGUAAACAUACAAGAACCGUUAUAGGGAUUUUCUAGUAUAGAGAGGACUGCAUUUUCGCGUGAUAAAACACUUGUGAACACUUCGUGAUUGUUGUGCUGAAAUCUAAUAAUUUAUGUAUUUAUUAUCUGGCCUAGGAGUGUUGUGUUGUUGACUAGUUUGAGUGCGUCCUUUAUUCCGCAUAACAGUGAUUAUAUGAAAUAUACCUUCGUACACGCAAAUUAACUUUCAAAAAAGUCAGAACGGAUUGAUAUGUUUCAGAAACGAAACAAGCGCUGGAGGUGUUGACUGUCUGAGGGAGGAGCAUAGCGCCAUGUUGCUGACGUCGGUGGGUGCAGCGCACGCAGUCCAGGAGCUGAGGCCCACUGAAGUCGACAAGCUACAGAUACGAGCGAAUGACAGACAGAUUUCCAAAUAGACGUA